CAAAGCUCAAGUCCUGAAAGGAUUUAAACAGAUCUUAAACCCUAAACCUGCGAAUAUUCUUACUGGUCCCAGUGGGGAAACAAUACAGAAUCCAUCCUUGCUGGAGGAAGGACAUGGCCAGCUCUUGGUGUAACACCUAAGUCAAGAAGGUUCUCGCUAUAUCUGGAACUCUGAGAAGUUUUCACAAUAUAACCAGGUGACAUCCAGAGCUCUCUUCUGUGAGUGUAUUCCCUGCUGAUGACUUUACUGGACUGCUCAUCUACAAAGUGGAACACCAUCAAUAUUCAACCGUUGUCCUAAGAUGCUGUGAUAGCUCAUAGCAUCAUCAAGUCUCUGAAAGUGUGGUGCUGUUGUGUCCCUUUUUGGCUGCAUCACUUUUGAAGAGCCAGAAUCCUGCACUGCCUGUCAGCUGAACUACGUUUCCACAAGUUUGCACAUUCCCAGCCCAUCACAAGUCUUAGGAGCUGCUCUCUAUCUCUCUGCAAGCUCACAGCAUAGCAAACAAGCAAGAAAUGUUCAUGGUAUUUCUUCAUGUAGUUGCCUGACACUGUCAGCUGUAGUGGAGGAGCCUCUAAAAUUUGCCUCAGCAGUUGGCAGGAGUCAGAUGUUGCACAGCCAUGCUUCAUAUCCUGAUGCUCCAGAAUCCUGGACUUGCUUUCCACGCACCUCCCUGCUGAGGAUGUUAGCAACCAAAUGGAGCCAGCAGAAAGCUGAGUGAGCUAACAGUCUGAUCUGACGCAGGAGUCAAAUAUUGGAGAAGACAAACAUAAAGCGUAGGGCCACAGAGCCAAAAAAGACAGACAAAAAUACUUCUAUUGAAAGAAAGGAAAGGGCACUUGAUGUACAGGAAGUUUCCCAUAGCUGAGUGCUUGCUUAAAAGGAUUCAUCCCCUUUUCUGGCACAGGAUCAUACUUGCUAUUCAAGUAUCUUCCACAGCUGAGGGAAAAAUAAACAACAAACAGCCUUUCUCUUGACCUCUCUAUCCAGAGUAAUCACGUUCAUCUACUUAGAGCAACAGUCAGGAUUAAAACAAAUGUACCAGGCUUUACUCUAGUGAGCCCCACGGGGGGAAUCCUUUGCAGAAUAAGACUUGAGGUUAUGGAAGUAAAGCCUAAAAAUAAUAAAGAGCAUAUUUAAAU
rnacentral:lncRNA from 7 species